UAGAAAGAAAAACUUUAACCUCUUUUUUCCUCUUUUUUCCUCUCAUUUUCUCUUCCUGCACCAAGCUCCUCCUCUUUUAUCCUCUGCGAUUUUGUUUGUUCUUCUUCUCUCUCUCCUCCGUCGUGAACCUCUCUCUAUAUCUUCCUUCUCCUUGGCCGAAGCUUUUCUCUCCUCCUUGCCGCGAGAUGUCGUUCUCCCUUCGAGAUUGGAUCCAGUGGUGAAGGAUCUCCUCUCCCCUCUCCUUCUCUGAUGCCUUCUCCUCCUCAUCCUCUUUCACAUUUGUGCCAAAGUGAGGACUUGUUGUUUUACCCUCUCUUUUAUAUACGUGUUUAUUUAUAGUUAGUCUUUUCUUGAACCAAAACUUAGAUCUAUUUGCUAGGGUUGAUAGAUGAAUGUUAGGACAUGGACCUCUGUUGAGUGAUUGUUGAUGAGACGGACAAUCCAUCAUUUAGAUCUGUAAAUCCUGAUUCAGAUAUGUAGUAGCCGUUGUUUGAUAUAUUUCUUUCUAAUUUAAAUCUUCAAAAACUAAAUCUUAAUCAAAUAUUAAUAGUUGCCCAUCUCUGAUAUUUUUUUUAUAUAAAAUUAAUAUACUUUGGAAUAAAUAGUAGUCUACUCCCAUUUAAUUACCGUUAAACGUUUGCUUUUGUCAUCAGUUCCGUGUGGCGUAAUUCAAGUACUAAACAUUUGAUUAAUUUUGACUAAUCAAUUAAAAGCAUGACAUUACAAGUUGCUGACAGGAAAAUACAAAACUAUCCGUUGCUGGUAGAAUAUUACACAAGUAAACUCAAUUGAACUUAAACCUAUAAAACCCUAAAAUAUGGACUGCUUGCUUGUUAACCUGUUUAAUAUCCUUUUUCUUAAAAUUUGGUAUCAGAUCACAAGACUAAAUCACUCUAGCUUCGAUCUAGAGAGGUCGCGCCCGUGUUUUCUUUUUAAAUGAUUUAAGAAAACAAUUUUCUUAAAAUCUUUUAAAAUGUUUUCAAACCUAGAACAACAACAACUUAUAGACGCUGAUCUAAUAGAUUCUUCUCAAAUUCUCGCAGGCGCUCGUGAUAGUCUC
rnacentral:lncRNA from 1 species